rnacentral:tRNA from 1 species
GCACCACUAGCUCAGUUGGCAGAGCAGCUGACUCUUAAUCAGCGGGUCCGGGGUUCGAAUCCCCGGUGGUGUACCA